AUGAACUUGAGACCAGGGCCCCUGGCUGACUCAUCUCUAUGUCUUCAGCACCUACAACUGCACCCGGAAAAGAACAUGGCUGCCCAGCUCAGAAAAUGUCAGUGGCCUCCAGGAAGACAGUUAGAGAAUGACAGUGCCUGCUACUCGGACUGCCUUGAACCUCCGAAAUUUCCAGUUCCUCAUCUUCCACCUCUCAGUGCGACCGCCAUGAUGGAUGUGAGUGAACUCGGGGAAUCUGCCCGCUACCUCCGCCAGGGUUACCAAGAGCUGAUGAAGGUGCACACUGUCGCAUGGGAUGGUAAGUGAAGGAAGAUGGGAUGGAGGCACAGGCACAAAGAAGCCCUUAUGGACUCAGACCAGCCCCGAGCUCGGGCUUGAAGGGGCAGGCACUCUGGCUUGACAGCUUUAACUCUGGCCUUUGCCCCCAGAGCCUAGGGCCCUGAGGCAAAAAUCCCAGGGACUGUGUGCAGCCCUGUGUGUCACUGAGCAAGCCGCAGUUCGUUCCUCUCUGAAUCGGAGCACUACCACCUGCCUCCU
rnacentral:lncRNA from 1 species